GUCUUCAGUACUUAUAGCUCAACAGGUGAAAGCACGGUGCUGAUGAUGCCAAGGUUGCAGGUUCGAUCCCUGUAUGGGACA